rnacentral:rRNA from 1 species
CAAUAGCGUAUAUUAAAGUUGUUGCAGUUAAAAAGCUCGUAGUUGGAUUUCUGGUACAACGCGCCUGGCCCGCUUUUGUGAGUGCCGGUGCGCGUUUGCCAUCCUUCUAGAAAACGUUUCUACCCGGGUAACUGGGCUGGACUCGCGAUCUAGAUCUUUUUACUUUGAAAAAUUAGAGUGUUUUAAAGCAGGCUUUUGCUGUGAAUACAUUAGCAUGGAAUAAUAAUCUAGGACUUUGGUUCUAUUUUGUUGGUUCUAGGACUAAAGUAAUGAUUGAUAGGGAUAGUUGGGGGUGCUAGUAUUCAGCGGCCAGAGGUGAAUUCUUGGAUUCGCUGAGACUAACUUAUGCGAAAGCUUCACCAAGGAUGUCUUCUUUUAAUCAAGAACGAAAGUUGGGGGAUCGAAGAUGAUCAGAUAC